AUUGAACGCUGGCGGCAGGCCUCACACAUGCAAGUCGCACGAGUGGCGGACGUGUGAGUAAUGUCUGGGCAACUGCCUGAUGGAGGGGGAUCACUACUGGAAACGGUCGCUAAUCCCGCAUACCAUCAGAUGUGCCCAGAUGGGAUUAGCUUGUUGGUGGGGUAACGGCUCACCAAGGCGACGAUCCCUAGCUGGUAUGAGAGGAUGACCAGCCACACUGGAACUGAGACACGGGCCAGACUCCUACGGGAGGCAGCAGUGGGGAAUAUGGGACAAUGGGCGAAAGCCUGAUGCAGCCAGGCCGCGUGUAUGAAGAAGGCCUUCGGGUUGUAAAGUACUGUCAGCGGGGAGGCGGUACCCGCAGAAGAAGCACCGGCUAACUCCGUGCCAGCAGCCGCGGUAAUAC
rnacentral:rRNA from 1 species